rnacentral:sRNA from 1 species
ACAUAGAAAAAUUGAGCAUUGUCUGUCGAAACUACAAGAUACGUUAUGAGUGUCAGUGCACCGCAACACCAACACCAGGUGUUCCCCAGGAAAC